rnacentral:rRNA from 1 species
UACAGGGGGUGCAAACGUUGCUCGGAAUUAUUGGGCGUAAAGCGCGCGUAGGCGGCUACUUAAGUCGGAUGUGAAAGCCCUUGGCUCAACUGAGGAAGUGCACCCGAAACUGAGUGGCUAGAGUACGAAAGAGGGUCGCGGAAUUCCCGGUGUAGAGGUGAAAUUCGUAGAUAUCGGGAGGAACACCGGUGGCGAAGGCGGCGACCUGGGUCGAUACAGACGCUGAUGCGCGAAAGCGUGGGGAGCAAACAGG